rnacentral:rRNA from 1 species
GUGACCUACCCAUGAGCAGGUUGAAGGUGCGGUAAGACGCACUGGAGGACCGAACCAGGGCACGUUAAAAAGUGCUUGGAUGACUUGUGGGUAGCGGAGAAAUUCCAAACGAACUUGGAGAUAGCUGGUUCUCUCCGAAAUAGCUUUAGGGCUAGCCUCAAGUGAUGAUUAUUGGAGGUAGAGCACUGUUUGGACGAGGGGCCCCUAUCGGGUUACCGAAUUCAGACAAACUCCGAAUGCCAAUUAAUUUAACUUGGGAGUCAG